AUUGCUUCUCAGCCUUUUGGCUAAGAUUAAGUGUAAUACUUUUCCAAACAGUAGGUAUUAUCUGUUUAAUAAUACACAGUUUUUAAUUGUCAGAUAUGAGCUCUGCCCUAUGGUAGGAUCUUUUGAGAGAACUAGCUUGGUUCUCUUUCUGUUGUCUUUCUGUCCUGC
rnacentral:sRNA from 1 species